AACGAACGCUGGCGGCAUGCCUAACACAUGCAAGUCGAACGAGAUCCUUCGGGGUCUAGUGGCGCACGGGUGCGUAACGCGUGGGAAUCUGCCCUUAGGUUCGGAAUAACAGUUAGAAAUGACUGCUAAUACCGGAUGAUGACGUUAAGUCCAAAGAUUUAUCGCCUGAGGAUGAGCCCGCGUAGGAUUAGCUAGUUGGUGUGGUAAAGGCGCACCAAGGCGACGAUCCUUAGCUGGUCUGAGAGGAUGGUCAGCCACACUGGGACUGAGACACGGCCCAGACUCCUACGGGAGGCAGCAGUGGGGAAUAUUGGACAAUGGGCGCAAGCCUGAUACAGCAAUGCCGCGUGAGUGAUGAAGGCCUUAGGGUUGUAAAGCUCUUUUACCCGAGAUGAUAAUGACAGUAUCGGGAGAAUAAGCCCCGGCUAACUCCGUG
rnacentral:rRNA from 1 species